rnacentral:sRNA from 1 species
UUUUACUGUUUAAAAAUAUAGAAACAAUAACGUACAAUUCAUUAAGUUAAAUUCUAAGAUUUCAUCCAUAGUAUAUAUCAUCCCGUAUUAAUAUUAACUCAAAUCCGUCCCACCAUAUAAUCCGAAAUUAAACAUCAUUUUGUCAUU